GUACACCAAUGUUUAUUGCAGCCUUAUUCACAACAGUCAAAAAGUGGAAACAUUCCAAGUGCCCAUCAACAGAUAAAUAAAUAAACAAAAUGUUGUUUAUAUAUAAAAUGGAGUAUUACUCAGUCAUGAAAAGGAACUCAUGCUACUACAUGCAUAAACAUUGUAAUCAUUAUGCUAAGUGAAGUAAACUAGUCACAAAAGGACAAAUACUGAAUGAUUCCAUUUAAUAUAUAAUCUUGAGAAUAUGCAAAUUCAUGGAGACAGAAAAUAGAUUAAAGGUUAACCAGAACUCAGGAAAGGAAGUGGGGAUUUACUGCUUAAUGGUUAGAGUUUCUGUUUGGAGUGAUGGCAGAUAUUUGUAAGGAAAUGUUUUUGGUGGUGGCACAAUGGUGUGAAUGCAUUUAAUACCACUGAAUUAUACCCUUAAAAAUAUUUUUAAGGAGUUCCCAUUGUGGCUCAGCUGUAAUGAACCCGACUAGUAUCCCACAAAAUAGUCGUUGCUUCCCACAAAAUCUCUGGCAUGCUUUCCAAAGUUUCUUUCAAAAAUCUAAAGUUUAAAACUCUGGAAUAUUAUGAAAUCAGAAUCUGAUAUAAAACUGUGAAAUCAUGAAUAACUAUAGACAUUCUGGCUUUUCCAGAUUUAUAUUAGGUUGUCUUCUUGUACCCAUUUUAAUUGCACAAAUAUCAUUUCAGAAAGGCCUGGCUAUUUCAAAGGCUUUUUCCAGUAGGUGUCUCUCUUUCACCAGUCUUACUCAGGCUAUCAGUAGGUUUGCCAUCCCAAAAAAGUAAGAAACAGCUAACAUGUGCCUGGGUCUGUGACCUAAUUUAUUUUAAAAGAUACUCAGCUAGGGAGUUUCCGUCCUGGCUCAGUGGUUAACAAACCCAACUAAUAUCCAUGAGGACACAGGUUCAAUCCCUGGCCUUGUUCAGCAGGUUAAGGAUCCAGCAUUGCCCUGAGCUGUGGUGUAAUUUGCAGCUGGGCUCAGAUCCUGGGUUGUUGUGGCAUAGGUGUAGGAGGGCAGCUACAGUUCUGAUUGGGCCCCUAGCCUGGUAACUUCCGUAUGCCACCUGCCACCCUAAAAAGCAAAUGCUCAGCUAGUUAUCUUUCUCAAGAACACCAUGCAACUCUUGCCUAAAGAUUUGUUCUUUUUUUAUUCCAAUGAACUCCAAACAAAUUUUAGGGGGCUCCCAGAAACAAUAAAGACUUUAACUCAAAGUAAGAAUUUCAAUGUAAUUUGACCAGGUAACCAAACUAAACCUUAAGGUCAAUGUCUGUACUAAACAGACCUACCUUGAGGAUAUAGGAUUUAUGGUUUUUCACCAGAAUGGUACGAAAGAUUUAAGAUUUGGGGCAGCCUUCAGUGUGUUGUUACUUUAGGAAAGUUGGAUUAAAGACCAAAUGCAGUAGAGGACUUCCAGAGUUUCAUGUCAAGACUCCAUCUGAUAAUUAAGGAGUGCUAUUGCUAUGGUCCCCGGAACAAGUCUUACCAUCCCCCCACCUGCUCUUGGCCUCCCUUGAAAACCCAGCAGCCGGGUACCUGGAUAGUCUGCAAACCCAGACUCUCUUCCAUGUUCUUCACUUGGUUCAGGAAAUGGAUCAGCCACUUUUUUUGUUCUGCUGAUUGUCCUCUUCUCCAGUCUUCAUGGAGUACCACAGCUGCAUGGCUUUGGCCUCCAGGAAUAAUUGGCUCGGGCCCAAACUCUCGCCUAAGACAGUUUCUCCCAGGACGUAGAUGAUAGGACCUGCUAGGCUGUAGAUGGGGAAGGUGAUGUUUUGCAGGUUGAAGUUCCUGUUUGUUUUCCAGGAGAACAAGGGCGGGUUGGAGGGGGCGCAGUAGCCCCGGUGCAGGUGGUGGAGCAGACCUCCUUGUACUGGAUCUGGGUUCCGUUUUCCCCUCCAUCACGGACAAAGCCCUUACCGCCUUGGCCAUUGUAUUAAUUUCGGACAAGAUUUCUUGUUUCAGCAACGAGGCGGUGUUGGAGACCGCUAGAAUAAAAGCAAAAUUGACUCUGUGUUCUCCCUGGAGAUGAAAUUAAGAGUCGUUGGCGGCGAAACGGCCCUGCACAAAGCGUCGCUCAGCCUUGACCGGGCUCCCUAUGUCUUCUUCUGCAUCCUUGGGCAGGUAAAUCAAGCCAGAGCCGAGAUGGGCCGUCAAAACCAGGGGCAGCAGCAGGAAGACCUAGAAGUGGGAGCUCACCUCCGCUCCCAGAGGCUGGAAGGUGCGGGACUGGGGCGCCUCCAGCAGUUGGUGUGGUAGCAGGGCUUCUCGGACACCAGGGGCUCCGAUAGAGACUGAGUGGCUGCUGCCGGCUCACUCCGGUGCCGGCUCUGCGCGCUGCCCUGACGCCCAGCCGAGCUCGGGUUCCCAUCCUUGACUGGACACCCAGAGCUGCAGCGGAGGGGACCCAGGCAGCUGCGAGCCCCUCUCAGAGGCCCCCUCAGGCCCCGCCUCUGGUCCCGCCUCAGGCUCCCGCCACUCGGAUGCUGAGCCCGGCUCCAUCCCC
rnacentral:lncRNA from 1 species